AUGAGGCCGCUGCCGGGUGCUUCUGGCGUGGCGGCGGCUGCCGGGCUGCUGCUGCUGCUCUGGGCCGGGCGGAGGAGCAGAACACAUGUAUCAAGAGAAAGUUGUCUUAUGGGUGAAUACUGUUGUGCCCUACCAUAAUCGCCAAGAAACGUGUAAAUACUUUUCACUUCCAUUCUGUGUGGGGUCAAAAAAAGUAUCAGUCAUUACCACGAAACUCUGGGAGAAGCACGUCAAGGAGUUGAAUUGGAAUUUAGUGGUCUGGAUAUUAAAUUUAAAGAUUAUGUUAUGCCAGCCACUUACUGUGAAAUUGACUUAAAGAAAAGAGAGAUGCGUUUGUAUAUGCCAUCAAAAAUCACUACUAGUACCAAAUAUACAUAGAUGACUUACUAAUAUGGAGUAUUGUUGAUGAGGCUGAUGAAAAUGGAGAAGAUUACUAUCUUUGGACCUACAAAAAACUUGAAAUAGGUUUUAAUGGAAAUCGAAUUGUUGAUGUUAAUCUAACUAGUGAAGGAAAGGUGAAACUGGUUCUGAAUACUAAAAUCCAGAUGUCCUAUUCAGUAAAAUGGAAAAAGUCAGAUGUAAAAUUUGAAGAUCGAUUUGACAAAUAUCUUGAUCUAUCCUUUUUCCAACAUAGGAUUCAUUGGUUUUCAAUUUUCAACUCCUUCAUGAUGGUGGUCUUCUUGACGAGCUUAGUUUCAAUAAUUUUAAUGAGAACCUUAAGAAAAGAUUAUGCCUGGUACAGUAAAGAAGAAAUGGAUGGCAUGGACAGAGACCUAGGAGAUGAGUAUAGGUGGAAGCAGGUGCAUGGAGAUGUGUUCAGACCAUCAAGUCACCCUCUAAUAUUCUCCUCCCUCAUUGGCUCUGGCUGCCAGAUAUUUGCGGUGUCUCUCAUUGCCAUUAUUGUUGCAAUGAUAGAAGAUCUGUAUACAGAGAGGGGAUCGAUGCUCAGUAUGGCCAUAUAUGUCUAUGCUGCUAUGUCUCCAGUGAAUGGUUAUUUUGGAAGAAGUCUGUAUGCUAGACAAGGAGGAAGAAGAUGGAUGAAACAGAUGUUUAUUGGGACAUUCCUCAUCCCAGCUAUGGUGUGUGGCACUGCCUUCUUCAUCAAUUUCAUAGCCAUUUACUACCAUGCUUCAAGGGCCAUUCCUUUCGGAACAAUGGUAGCUGUUUGUUGCAUCUGUUUUUUUGUUAUUCUUCCUCCAAAUCUUGUUGGUACAAUACUUGGCCGAAAUCCAUCAGGUCAGUCCAACUUUCCUUGUCAUGUCCAUACUGUGCCUCAUCCUAUACCAGAGAAAAAAUGGUUCAUGGAGAUUGCAGUUAUUGUUUGCCUGGGAGGAAUUUUACCUUUUGGCUCAAUCUUUAUUGAAAUGUAUUUCAUCUUCACGUCGUUCUGGGCCUAUAAGAUCUACUAUGUCUAUGGCUUUAUGAUGCUGGUGUUGGUCAUCCUGUGCAUCGUCACUGUCUGUGUGACCACUGUGUGCACGUAUUUUCUGCUAAAUGCAGAGGAUUACAGGUGGCAAUGGAUGAGUUUUCUUUCUGCUGCAUCAACUGCAAGCUAUGUUUACAUGUGUUCCUUUUACUACUGUUUUUUCAAAACAAAGAUAUAUGGCUUAUUUCAAACUUACUUUGGAUAUAUGGCAGUAGCAUAGCCUUGGGGAUAAUGUGUGGAGUGAUUGGUUACAUGGGAACAAGUGACUUUGUCCAAAAAAUCUAUACUAAUGUGAAAAUUGACUAG